AUUGAACGCUGGCGGCAGGCCUAACACAUGCAAGUCGAGCGGAUGAAGGGAGCUUGCUCCUGGAUUCAGCGGCGGACGGGUGAGUAAUGCCUAGGAAUCUGCCUUGUAGUGGGGGAUAACGUCCGGAAACGGGCGCUAAUACCGCAUACGUCCUGAGGGAGAAAGUGGGGGAUCUUCGGACCUCACGCUAUCAGAUGAGCCUAGUUCGGAUUAGCUAGUUGGUGGGGUAAAGGCCUACCAAGGCGACGAUCCGUAACUGGUCUGAGAGGAUGAUCAGUCACACUGGAACUGAGACACGGUCCAGACUCCUACGGGAGGCAGCAGUGGGGAAUAUUGGACAAUGGGCGAAAGCCUGAUCCAGCCAUGCCGCGUGUGUGAAGAAGGUCUUCGGAUUGUAAAGCACUUUAAGUUGGGAGGAAGGGCAGUAAGUUAAUACCUUGCUGUUUUGACGUUACCAACAGAAUAAGCACCGGCUAACUUCGUG
rnacentral:rRNA from 1 species